GGCUGGCUCAGUCGGUAGAACGUGCGACUCUUGAUCUCAGGGCCAUGAGUUCAA
rnacentral:tRNA from 1 species